CCAGAAAGCACCGUUUCCCGUCCGAUCAACUGUAGUUAAGCUGG
rnacentral:rRNA from 2 species